rnacentral:rRNA from 1 species
CCUACGGGUGACAGCAGUGAGGAAUAUUGGUCAAUGGCCGUAAGGCUGAACCAGCCAAGUCGCGUGAAGGAAGAAGGAUCUAUGGUUUGUAAACUUCUUUUAUAGGGGAAUAAAGGUAUCCACGUGUGGAUAUUUGCAUGUACCCUAUGAAUAGGCAUCGGCUAACUCCGUGCCAGCAGCCGCGGUAAUACGGAGGAUGCGAGCGUUAUCCGGAUUUAUUGGGUUUAGGGGGAGCGUGGGUUGUUUUUAAGUCAGCGGUGAAAGUUUGUGGCUCAACCAUAAAAUUGCCGUUGAAACUGGAAGACUUGAGUGUGUUUGAGGUAGGCGGAAUGCGUGGUGUAGCGGUGAAAUGCAUAGAUAUCACGCAGAACUCCGAUUGCGAAGGCAGCUUACUAAGCCAUAACUGACACUGAAGCACGAAAGCGUGGGGAGCAAACAGGAUUAGAUACCCCUGUAGUC